GCAAUAAUCAAGUGUUCAUUUGAUGAACUUCAUUUCCUAAAACAUCCAGAAUUGAAGCUCAUAUCUUUGGCAGCUGUAAAGUUUCUGCUCCUUCAAAGUUCACAACACAAUGAAUGAAUUCCUAAAACACUCUAAAUGCUGGAGAGCGUUUGUGAUGCUGAAGCAGUGACCAGUUUUUCUGUUUCUUCUCUGGAGAUGCACAAUGAGGGACGUCUGCAGAGACUGAGAAAGAGUCUCACCACAUCCUGACAUGAGGAAAAAGACUUUAUUGAAGACUACAAUGAGAAAAACUAUCAGACAGCAGACGGCUGCAUUCAAGUCUGUAGCUGCUGAAUUCAUGGAUGAAUCAUCUGGCACUAGAGAGGAAGACCAUCAAACAUCCACGUCAGCUGAUGGAGGUCCAAGAGUCUCACCGAACAAACAACCUACAGAGUGAAGACCUCAAAUCUGAUUGGACGGCCUCCUAUUCAGCCACAUUUUAGGCUGUUAGAUUGUUCCAGAUAAGACAAGUAAAAGAUUCUUCAGAGCCGUUCUACCACGAGCCUGACAGGAAGAACUCCAACAGCUACUGAAUGUUCCUGUGGUUCCCUCAAGGCUACAGGAGGAGUCCUACGAGGACGAGCCGGUCCACCUGAUGGUGGCCAGUCACUGUGGUUCAAAGCCAACACCGACUACGUGGACUUCUACUGGACCACACGGAGGCCUUCAAACCGGACCAACAAGUUCAGCGA
ensembl:lncRNA